GAUAGAAGAUCUGGAGGAGGAGCAGAGAAGCUGGGAAUCUUGGUGGGCUUCGUGGUGCAUUGUGGGUGCCUCAUGGCUGCUCCACUCUUCUAGUUGCCAUUUGACUCUAGAGAAGAGGAUCAGCAAAGACUCUCCUAAGAUUUCCUGGAACAAUCCUCUAUCCCUUCCUGGUUUUCUGUCCAACCAUCUGCAGAAGAGUGGGUCAGACAGUGAGAAGCACCGGAUGAAAAAGAUCUCAGUAUGUACCUACAUCCUCUCAGAAUGAUGCAUUUAUCGGAUCAAGAAAUGGUGGAAAUUGGCACAAAUGACCAGCACAGAUGAUGUGAACUUCCUGCCAUGAAAAGAGGACCUAAAAGCCAGUAAAAUGGUUUAAAUUUGUGCUGGUUUAUUCCUCUAA